CAUCUGCAGAGGAAGAUGGGCAAUUGUGAAAAGAGGUCAAGAACAAAAUAGGGAAGAAGGAGCAGCAGAUCCGGAGGUCAGCGGAAGGACAGAGGCCGUGAGUUGGAGGUGUACCCACUCAUCCCACACGCCACCAAUUGCAGGAGUUGCAUGUUGUGAUAUACAGAUACAAUGCAUUCCCUCGAGGGACUGAGUACAAAACUGAUGGUUUUGCUCUGAAUGCAUCAGUCCAGAGAAAUCUGUGGAGGAGAAUGAAAGCGGGGUCUUGUGCACAUCUGAAUCUGCUGUCUCCAAGAGGCCUUUGGGCCCACAGAGCCAAAACAGCACAUUCACGAAGACAAAAUGCCACAUUGUCUGAAGCUUUGUCUGCCCCACAGGCACUCUGCAAAAAUAUCUCCUUACAGCCACAAGGGCUUCAUCCCCAGUAUGUUUGACUGUGUUGGGAGUUCGAGCACAGGCACUGCACUGGUGUAAAUCCUCAUGGAGGACAUUGCAGCUAUGACAACUUACACCAGCACCUGAGCUCCCCUGGAAAUAACACAACAAAGCAGCUAUGUUAGUGACCAGUGGAGAAUUAUUAAAGGAACACAGAUAAUGGGAAGAAAAUAAACGACCUGGAUAGAAGAGCUACUAUGCAAUGAAGUGCAGGCAUGGGAGAUGGAGAUGCUCAGAACCUCCUGGUAAUAUGCUACUUUCCAGUUCCACAGCUUCAUUUUUCUGCACUUCAAGUGUUCAGCAUAAAGUCAUGAUGGUCUGAGAGUGACUGGCUGUUACAUCUGCACAACUGGGCCAAGGAAGCUUCUGAAAUAUUGACUAUUGCCAGCCUUUGAAGGAGAAAAGAAUGUGGAACAAGCAACCUCCUCCUCCUAUGUUUUGUAUUUGACAAUCAGAUCCAGUUGCAGACUGUCCUCAGGGGCCCAGGAACUGUGAUCUUAGCUCUUUCAGGAGGUCUGCAUAGGAAACAGCUCCCCAGAACCACACUGACCCACCAAUUAGCAGAAUCUUGCACAGCACUCCAGCCACGGAGGAAGGCUUCCCUCGUUACAGACAGCUACUUGGGACGUCAAGGUGGGGCAGCAGCUACCAGUCAGUGUGGCAUCUGUUGUGCAAUGUGGCUGCUUAUGAGCUUAGAAAUCCUGCAAUCAACUGUAUUUCAGCAUGGCAAGAUGCUGUUACUUUUCUCUGUUUUAGUGGAAAUGAGAGAGAACUCAGCUGUGGCUAAAUACUUACUGCUUUUUACUAUGUUUUCAACACAAUCCUUUUAUGUGUAUGUACAUCUCGCCUGCAAACAUUCCUACACACUCAACAACAGAUGCAUUGAGGAUAAUUCUGCCAAUUACAAAGCUACUAGGAGUGCUGUAGUUGAACUCUGAGUAUAGAGCAGCCAGCUGAAGUAGACAACAACAAUUUUUGACACAGCUGGUCACAGCUGACAUUUCUGUUCUUGAUCCACUGAGUCAUCUGAAUCCUGUAAGAACAUUCAUCAUGGAAAUAGUCUGAAACAGAGAAAUAGCCUGAGCUCUCCUGCAGAAUCUAUUCUUGACCCAAUCUGCAAUGUUAAGAAAAGGCUCUGAUAGCUGCGUAUUUUCUCUUCACUCAUAAGUAAUAGGGGUGCACUGCUUGCUGGUCCUAGUCCUUGUGGUCACAGUGGGAUUGUCACUGUUUUAUUAGUUACUUUUGCUCUUUCUGAUGUUCCUGUAAAACAACAUUCUGUUUCAGGAGAUGUGCCUGUCAAGGAAGCGGGGAGAAGGUGGAUGACAUGAUGAGUGGCUUCCAACACUUUGUUUAUGUCUCCAUGGGGUGGAAGCAUUUUGUUAACUCUGCACUCUCAAUGUGGAUCAGUCACUGCUGCCAACAUAAAUAAUUUCAAAUAUUUCACUGAGAAUUGCUGCAAAGCUACAGGAGAUUUCUGCCUAUAUGACUGAGAUAGUGUCUCCUUUGAUUUCAACUUGAUUUAAUUUUGUAGAAGGAGAGGCAAAUACAGGAUGAGUGAUAGUGCAGCCCUCCAACUUGCAUUAUUGAUACUUCCAAAGUGUCCAGUUCAAAUGGGGGCAGAAUGUUAACAGAACUGAGAGUAUCAGUCUAGUGGCUGAAGGACAAAAAUAAGCUGCCUUUUUGAUCUUUGCUGGUCAACAAAAGCAUGCUUUGCUAGCUCCAGAAGUCUUUCAUGUGAGAGAAAAUGGACAGAGAUGAAAACCUGUGUCUGAUCUAACACUUUGGCAAGCUUUAUUUUCUUACACCCACAGGAGAAGAUUUCUGGCCUUGCAGAAAAAUGGACAGAAGUAAAUCAGAAGUCCCUUUCUGCAAAGUAGAAAGUCACUGGUAAAGUUUAUUCUGUGUAUAAAACACGCUCUGUAUCAUGCUUAAAACUUUGGCCUCCACUGAAAUUAGACUGGUCAGAAAACUGGAGCCUCUGGGCAUAAACCAGACCCUCAGUUCUCUAAAUGGACCACAGUGCAAGAUUUAGAAAAAAUGUUUACUAUACUUGUCAUCACUUUUCUGGCAUAUUUUGUUUGGAGAAGCUGGAUCAGGCAGAGCUAGAAGCCCGAUAAAUUUCUCUAACCACUGACUUGGAGUACAUAUACCUGAAACUGAGCAAGUAAUUCAAAAUAAUUUUUCAGAUAAAUUCAUUUUCUUAUUUAUUUUCUGAAUGUAAAAAACCUGUGAGAAAGUAAUGAGUUCCAUUAAUUCACUAAUUGUUUGAACCUACUCCACAUACUCUAAGUGAUAUUUUUAUUACCUUAGAAUGGAGUGAUCGGAAAUAAUUUGUUGAGUUAUUUGCAUUAAAUGUCUGUCCCUGCUUCGAUGAGCAUUGCUGUGAUUGUGAAGAUAAAAAGAUGGGAAAUCUCUGAGGCUUUUGUAUUUUCAGACAAUGAGAACAGAUUAGGGACCAGGAAAAAAAAAAUGAAGAUUAGGGGAUUUUCGAAAAAUAAACCUGGGUAUUGCUGGUGGUUUUCAUGUCAGAAAAAGAUGGAGUUUUUUUGAUUGUGGUACAUUUAUUUCUCUCAAGUUUAGAACCCAUGUAAUGGUCUAUUAUUCUCAGUGGGUCACUCAGGUAAGGCUGACCUGGACUGCAGCACAGUGCAAAGAGCAGGUGAGAGAGUUUCGUGGCAAAGGAGAUGUUCAACUCAAGCUUCUCCUCUGUGAGUUUUACCGUUUUCAUCCUGCUUGACAUUUCUCAGAGUAAGCUGUAUUACAGAUUAGUAGCCCUUGGCAGUAGGCUGGAGAAAGAUGAGAUUUUAGUGUGAUAUGCUACACAGGCAUGGAGGGGAGGGAAACAAAGAAUAUGUGUGAAAAAUUGAAAUGACAAGGUCAUGUUGAUAGCUUGGUUGUGGGAGCUGCCACGGUAGUUUGUUGCAUUAUGAUUAGAGAUGGGCCAACUAGCAUGAAUGAGAUGAAAGCUGGUUUGAACUCCUCUAACCAGACUGAAGAGGAGCCCAUGGUAAGGCUAAAACCCAUCUAGCACUGGUAGGCUUGGUUUCUCAACUUUAAUGUGAACUUCUGCUUCUGAUAAUUUAGCUCAGAAUAGAAAGCAGGAAUCUAGAAAAAUAUUCAGGACACUCAUCUGGUCUAAAAUCCUUCAAUCUGGAAAACUUGAUUAUAUAAAAACAUAUAAAGACAUUUUCAUAUCAUUCCCAGCCUUCCAUCUAUGACAAAGAGCUCCAUAUCCUUGUUAAUAACCAUCCUGUUAACAAAAUGAAACAAAGUCUGCAAAGCUUUCAAAUUUCAGCACAAGGUCUUUUUAAUUAUGAAGCACUCAGCUGAGAUGCCAAGCUUCUGUCAAAGUGUGAGUGUGAGAGAGUAGUCUGCGUACGAGGACUUGCAGUGGGAACUGCACUGAGGUAAGCCUACAAUCCCUCUGUCAGCUGUCUCUCUUCUCUUUGGCUUUAUCCUGUGGGAAGUAGCUUUACAUUCAGAUUCAGACUACAAGGGAUUCUGCGAAAGCUGAAUUUCUGCACUGGCCGUGCUUAUUCUGCAGUGUAUGUCACACUCCCUGUGGUGAGGGCUAAGUUCUCCCUAUUUUGUGCAGCCUCUGUCUAAUGCAGACAAAAUUCCUCCUUCUCACAAAGAUUCCAGGAGACAGCAAAGGCAGAGAGCAAGGGCAGGUGGAGACAAGCAUUGCAGUUUACCUUGGACUCCCUGUUUUGAAACACUUGCCAAGCUCACUGGGGUAAUAGUUGUGAUUUGGUUGAAUAACAAAAUCCAUAUCCAGCCCAUUUCUGAAAAGUGCAGUCAGCAGUCUUCCUUUUGCCUUAAUAAUGUCACUCCUUAGUUCUUGGUUGCAGAUAUUCAUGAUGAUACAGUGGGGCAGAAAUACACAGGAGCCCAGAUUGUUUUGAAGUGGCUCUAGAAGUCACUGAAACAAUGACCUAUAUUGGUAUAGGAAACUUUUUUCCUGACCAUAUUCAUCCUCAGUGUGCUUUACAGACCUGAGAGAUCCAUCUCUUUGAACUGUGCAAUGCAGAGCAGAAAGCAGCUUCUCAGCUGAGGCUGCAGGGAACACUCUGCUACGUGAGGACUGGAAGGAUGAGCAGAGCUUCUCACCCAUAUCUGGAUAAAGGAUUACCCCUUAACACGUUUUCCCUUUCUUCCCCUCCGUUCCAUUCCCCUCCCAAAAGUAUACAGCAAUGAAAGGUAACAGGUCUGUCAGACUCCUUUUCUCUUUUACUUGGAGGUAAAUGAAUCUGACCUAACAUUUAAUGAAAUCUGCUUUAAACAGGAUGAAGACAGCAGCUUGGAAAAACAGAAAAAUAAAAGAAAAAGAAAGCGUUCUUCUUCAUAUGUAAAUUUUCUGCAAAGAAAAUAAAACUUGAAAUUAAGCUUACUUGUGAUUUUGAAAUGUAUAGUUUAUUAUUUACCCCCAAUUAUUUUCUUAAUGGCUGGGUUUCCAUGGUCUAGUAAAGUCACUGCACUUAAAAGGACCCUCUAAGAGAGGUGUUUGGGUUUUUUAACAAAUUAUCGUCCAUUUCUGCAGAUUAAAUAAUGCUUCUGAAAACAUGAUGCAAGGCCUCAGAAUACUGUCCAUUGAUACCUGCAAAGUCCAAUGAACUCCUUACUAGAUACUUUUUUUGACUUUGUAGUUACCACAGUCUGAUUUAUUAUUGUAACAGAUUUACUUGUAUGGAAAAUUAACAGGCAUUAUAUGGCUCUCUAUAUAAUCCAUAAAUAAUGCUUUCUUCUUCGGGGAGUUUAAAGACACAUGACUUCGAUGUUACUGAAGAUUGUGUCAUAAUCAUCAAAUGGAGCUGGUGCCAAAUAAACCAGAUGGAGCUUUCACUCAAAAACCUGCAUUUAUUUUUGAUAUCUGUGGCGUAUUUUUAAUCCAUGCAACUUUUAAUAGGAUAAGGUAAGAAGAAAGAUCUGCUCCCAGAGAAAAAAGAGAACCAUUAGAAGCUCUCAUCUUAUUAUCUGACCUGACAGCACAAAUAGAUGAUGGGAAAAAGUCAAAGUACAAUACCCAACUCCAAGUGGAAGGGAUUCAUUUGAUGCUUUCUGCUGGAGCAGAAGAUGGCAUGAAUGUUUAUUUCAUCCUCCUAUACUAUGAAAAAAUUCAGAGUAUUUUAAUUUAUCUGUGCACAUAUUACUCCUUAAUUAUACUUGAUUACAUUGCUAUACUAGCACAUUUCUUUUUCUGUCUCUUUGCAAGAAUAUAUAUAAUUUUAUUGAAUACAUAGCUUUGCCUCUGUCUAUCUCAAAUUGCUUUUAUAUGCAUCUUUGUCUGCACUGUAUUAUAUUCUGCCUGUAGUACAAAAGAGACAAAAAUAAGAAGUUUGAUAAAUAACCAAUAUGUGUCACUUUUUUGCAAGAGGUAUGACAUAAAAAAGCCCUACAGCUAUAACUCACUUUGGCCUUCUAGAGACAUGGGGAGA